GUCAGAAUGGACGAGUGGUCUAAGGCGCCAGAUUUAAGCGCUGGUUCUCGAAAGAGAGCGUGGGUUCGAACCCCACUUCUGACA
rnacentral:tRNA from 1 species